GUAGUCUGCAACUCGACUACAUGAAGCCGGAAUCGCUAGUAAUCGCGGAUCAGAAUGCCGCGGUGAAUACGUUCCCGGGUCUUGUACACACCGCCCGUCACACCAUGGGAGCCGGAAAUGCCCGAAGUCAGUGACCCAACCAAUAAGGAGGGAGCUGCCGAAGGCAGGUCUGGUGACUGGGGUGAAGUCGUAACAAGGUAAC
rnacentral:rRNA from 1 species